CAGCCCAAAGGUCUUCUGUCGUUUCUUUCUCUCCUUCCGUUCAUGUGUUUCACUUUACCUUUCUCCAUUUUCUGCUUUAGGGCUUCUGCUUUCCUCGGUCAUCGUCGUUGUGUGCCUUCAUUUCUCUCGAUUUCUUCCUUUUUGUUUCGCAAUUUUAUCUCCAGCGAGACACGAUCUUUGAUUUUUUGCAAUCAUUGUUCGCUGUUCUUCUCUGUUUUUGGCUGCGAUCUGUGUGUUGCAUCGAUUUUGUCUUUUUCGCCGUUUUGUUUCAAGCCUCUCUUUUGAGAGGAUCAGUGCAUAUUAAGAUUUUCGCUCCAAUUUGGGUGAUCUCUCUUCUGAGAGAAUCGGUGCAUGUUGAGCUUUUCCAAAUGCACAGAGCCUUUUAAAAAUACUGCUACCCUCUACAAAACAAGCCAGUAAAGCUCAAAUAUUGCAGACAGCAAAGAAGGUAACAAUUGAAGAGUUGGCUUUUUUAGAUCCAAAUUUGUACAAGAACGAAACCUUUCUCUGCAAAGAAUCUGUCAAGCAGUUUGACGCACACUACGAUUGGUGGUACAAUGCUUGCCUAAACUGUGCCAAACAAAUGCACAAAGAUCGAACAAUUGGGCAAUUGAUUUGUCAAAAACAUGCAGACCAGCUACCAACUCCUUGGGGAGAAAACAUUCAAUGGAAUAAUUUCUUAGAUGUAUUGCCACAUCCCCAAGGAUUAGGUCCACUUUUUACAGGUACAAACUAAACUUGGUCCUUGAGGACGAAACCAGUGAAAUGAAUGCUUUAAUUAUUGGCAAAUCUGGUGAGAAGCUUUUGGGCACAACCUGCAGACAUUUAGUUCGGGUUUACUCACAUACUCUGGGGGCGAUUUCUAAAGUAUAUAGAGGCAAAGCUUUCUCCAAGACCCUCCAUAUGCAAUAUUCUUUGACAUGGGUAUUUCCUUUGUUUUGGUUUCUUCUCUCUCCAUAUCUCUCCUCAACUGCAUGGAUGACAAGAGGAAGUACAAAGGGAUGCAUUUGGCUCCCACUUUUGAGGUUCCUCCCAUGAGCAGGCACCCAAAAACUGGCGACUGAAAUAUUUUCAUCAUGUGUUGAAGCAACAAAAAGACUACGCAGUUGCAUCGUGAAGUACACAGCUCACUUCUCCUAUUAAAUGUACCCCAUUGUUCAGAUCCUUGGCAGCAGGAAUUCCCAGCCCAAAAUUUUCUGAAAGUGUGAAAAUUUGAUGUCAUCUUCAACUUUCCUCAUCCAAGCCAUUACUCUAGCCUACGCGAAAAGGACUUUGAGCUUAUUGAAUAAGUGAAACCAUUAAGCUACUUUUACUUGUGAAGCUUGUCGUUGCCUCUUCCCGCAUGUUGUACGAUUAUGACCUUUCUUGCCACACAUUCCACAAGUGACCUUGCUGAAGCAUUUAGGCAAUUUGUUUAAGGUUGAUGGUGGUUGUGGCUCAUCUUGCUUUCUUCCCCUCACCUUCUUUGGCCUACCAGCUUGCUUAUGAUACUUUGGAGGUGCAACGGGUUGGUGAUUUGUAGGUGGCCAAAAUUCUCGGCUAGGCAUGGCAUGGAUAUAAGGAGUGUAGGCUCUCAAGGAAUUCCAGUGAGCAUACUUGUAUGGAUCGUCCUCUCUAUAGAUUGUGGCAACUCCAUGAGCACAAGGAAUUCCAGUGAGAUCCCACCUUCUACAUGUACAUGUGUGUUUUGCUAAAUCAACCGCAUAUUGUGCUCCACUCAUAUGCUUCACUUGAUACUCCUUAUCACCAGACAAUCAAGCAAUACAUGAACCACUUUCUAAUUUAUUUAUUUUCAACCAAUUUAAAUAUUCUAGGGCCAACCUCAUUUUUCCACUUACCUGCUGCUUCUCUCAUUCUUGCCACUCUGACCAUUAGUUAUGUUGUAAUCCUCUCCACCAUAGUUAAUAUUGGUUUAUCUCUUGCUCCCAAUAUUGCACUAUUAAAAGACUCACAUAGAUUAUUCAACAAGAUAUCACAAUUAGAUGAUGUCCUAAAAUAAGAUCUGCUUCAAUGACAUGCUGGUUUGUCAUCAAACCAACUUAUAGCCAAUCCAUCUUCAACUUCCAUCUUAGUCAUCUCUGCUUUAAAUCCUGGAAUGCUGACCAAAGAAUUUGUUUCAAUGCAAUGCCAACGUGUGUUUUCUUGAAAUUGUUAUAUAAGCGUCGAACACAAUGUACAUGUUCAGCAGUUGGAAUAAGGUCCUUCACAGCUUUUAUUAACCCCUUUUGUUUGUCUGGCGUAAAGACCCAAGCAUGCCCAUUUUCAAUACCCAAAUCAGUGAUGAGUAGCUCGAGAAACCAAGUCCAAGUUCUUCUAUCUUCAAUUUCAACAAUUGCAUAUGCUACUGGAUACAUGCCAUUGUUGGCAUCUAUACCAAUGGCAGCAAGCAAUUGGCCUGGAUGUGGACCUUUAAUGUGGCAUCCAUCCAAUCCCACCACUGGCCUACAACCUUCCAAAAAGCCUCUUUUCAAUGCUGCAAAGCAUACAUACAACCUCUGAAACCUAGGCCUUCCUCCUUCCAUUUCAGUCUUCACCAAAAUUGUACUCACAGGAUUUCUUCGCUUGAGCUCCUCACAAUGAUCCCAUAACCUUGCAUAUUGCUCCACAUAAGCCCCUUCACUCUUCUCAGCUGUUAAUGACCGUGCUUUAUAAAGUUGAGCCGGUGUUACGUGCAACUUGUAUUGUUUAUGAACAGUUUGUUGAAAUUUUGACACUUCCCAUUUAGGAUUGUCAAGCAAAUCCUCAGCAUACCUAUGUGAUAACCAAGUUGAGGUGCAUAGUCUGAGCUUUUCCUUUCUCGGGCAUGUAUGGACAUCAUUGAGUGUUUUCAUUAUAAGUGCAGAGCUCUGAUCUAUUUUGCUUGCAUAAAUCACCCAUGGACAUCCCUCAUUUGUACACAUACCCUGAACUUCAUAACGCUCUCUUAUUGGGAAUCUUAUUUGUCCUCCAUUCACACAACCAUAAAUGUCACUGCUUGUUUGAACUCCUUUCUAUUGGAAAAUAUCAUUCCAGUUCUAAAUUGUGGGUUCUUGAUAUCCAAAUCACUUCUAAAAGGAAUGAGUUUAGGCAUUUUAUUCUUACUUUUCCACUUCACUGGUUGUUCACCUUCAUAUGAUGAGCUAGAACCACUUCUAAAGCCAUCAGAAUCUUCGUAGUCUGUUUCAACAUCUCCAAAUCCUAAA